rnacentral:rRNA from 1 species
AUGGGGGUGGGAGGGGCGUGGCCUAAGGAACCGCCCGCGGCGGGGCGCUGGGCCGGGCGCGGCAGCAGGGGACCCGUCGAGGACAGGCGCGUGCAGUGGGUGUUCCUCGGCUGCCCCGGGGUGGGGAAGGGCACCUAUGACGGCCGCCUCUUGCGGCUCCUCGGCGUGCACCACAUCGCCACCGGUGACCUCGUCCGCGGCGAGCUCGCCUCCCAAGGCCCCCUCUCCAAGCAGGUAUUCCAGUUCGUCGCGCUCAAUCCAGGGUCCUGA